rnacentral:rRNA from 1 species
GAUGAACGCUGGCGGCGUGCCUAAUACAUGCAAGUCGAACGGAAAGGCGCUGCUCUUGCUCGGCUGACGUGAGCCGCACGCGUGUGUAUAACACGUGUAUACCGUCCCUGUAUUUCUGGUAUCUCUUGGGAACACCGGCUAUUAUCGGAGAUGAGAUCCUGCUGCGCGUGGUGCGAUGGAAAGAUACGGCGUUUGGGGAUGUUCUAGCUGGUUAUCCGCUUGUUUGGCGGGUAGUGGCUUACCAGGGCUUCGACGGAUAGCCGGCAUGAGAGGGUUACCGGCGACAUUGGGACUGAGAUACGGCCCAGACUCCUACGGGAGGCAGCGGUGGGGAGUAUGGCACAAUGGGCGGAAGCCUGAUGCGGCAACGCCGCGUGCGGGAUGACGGCCUUCGGGUUGUAAACCGCUUUCGCCUGUGACGAAGCGUGAGUGACGGUAAUGGGUAAAGAAGCACCGGCUAACUACGUG